GGGGGUGUAAUGGUUUCGACGGGGAUUAGGAACCUCGGAAAAGCACGCGGAAGCGCCCGUGCUUCCUAAAAAACGGGCAAAACAAUAACUGCGAACAGAACUCCUGUAGCACUCGCGGCAUAACCUGCCGCGGGAUGUCGAUGCGCCGAGCCUACCUAAUAAAGGCGUCGUCGGCUCAAAUUUUAGUAGGGAACAGCCUUUAGGGGGGUAGACCAAUACCCUUUAGGCAGUCAAAAACAGAGGUCUUGGGUUCAAGAAAGCCGUGUGUUAUAGGGCGUUCAAAACCGACACAAACCAAACACUAAGCGUGUAGAAAGCCUUGGCAACUUUUUUUCGGACACGGGUUCGACUCCCGUCACCUCCACCA
rnacentral:tmRNA from 1 species